rnacentral:tRNA from 1 species
GCGGGUAUAGUGUAAUGGUAGCACGAAGCCUUCCCAAGGCUUUAGUGGGGGUUCGAAUCCCCUUACCCGCU